rnacentral:rRNA from 1 species
UACGAGGGGGACAAGCGUUGUUCGGAAUUAUUGGGCGUAAAGGGCGCGUAGGCGGCGCCACAAGUCACUUGUGAAAACUCUGAGCUCAACUCAGAGCCUGCAAGCGAAACUGUGGUGCUGGAGUAUGAGAGAGGUGCGUGGAAUUCCCGGUGUAGCGGUGAAAUGCGUAGAUAUCGAGAGGAACACCUGUGGCGAAAGCGGCGCACUGGACCAUAACUGACGCUGAGGCGCGAAAGCUAAAAGAGCAAACAGG